rnacentral:rRNA from 1 species
UGGGGAAUAUUGCACAAUGGGCGAAAGCCUGAUGCAGCGACGCCGCGUGAGGGAUGACUGCCUUCGGGUUGUAAACCUCUUUCAGUAGGGAAGAAGCGAAAGUGACGGUACCUGCAGAAGAAGCGCCGGCUAACUACGUGCCAGCAGCCGCGGUAAUACGUAGGGCGCAAGCGUUGUCCGGAAUUAUUGGGCGUAAAGAGCUUGUAGGUGGCUUGUCGCGUCUGCCGUGAAAACCCGAGGCUCAACCUCGGGCGUGCGGUGGGUACGGGCAGGCUAGAGUGUGGUAGGGGAGACUGGAACUCCUGGUGUAGCGGUGAAAUGCGCAGAUAUCAGGAAGAACACCGAUGGCGAAGGCAGGUCUCUGGGCCAUUACUGACACUGAGAAGCGAAAGCAUGGGUAGCGAACAGG